UCUUUGAAAAGUUUUACGGCGAAGAAAGAAGGGGAGGGGCGGGCGAGCGAGCGAGCGAGAGUUAAUAAUGUCUCGCUCAAUUAAUAAACAUGGCAAUUUCACACCCCAAAGAGAAGGCCAUUAUCCCCUCCCAAGCGCUUAGCGGCGCCGACACAAAAGGGGUCACGGCGCAGCUGCAGCAGCCCGGGUGCUAUUAAGGAGGGAGGCUGCUGAGCGCAGCCCGCUUGCCAUUCCCCAGCUCGUACCUCCAGGCGAAGUUUGGCUGCGGGCGCAGCCGGUGCCACCCCGUGAUAAAGGGCUUACUCGGCACGGAACGGAGGGGCGAGGCUUCCCCGGAGAAAGCAAUCGCCGGGCUCUGCCUCCCUCCCUCCCUCCCCAGCGCCGCUAAUUCGUCGCCCGCCUUCUUUUGCUCCCUCCUUUUGAUCGUUAGGAAGAUAUGAGAGACCGGGGAGGGUUUUUUUUUUUGUGGUGGCAAGAGAAAGGGCCCCUCCAAAUAAAAGAAUCGGGCGUAAUCUCUUAAAGCGCGUUACGCUGGGAGGAAGUGUGCUCUCCUCUCCGCGAUCGAUUGCAGCCCGGCGGCCACCAAGACAAAGGGGUCACCUCCUCGAACCGCCUGCUUCUGUCCGGAUGCUCUCUGAAAAGAUGCCUCAGAAUCAACUGCAAUCCUAGAAAGUGAAUAUCCAGCUUCCUGACAGCAAACAUGGACUGAACUCAGUGGGAUGUGGGUCUGAGUAGACAAGUUAACCAAUUGUGUUGACUCCAGAGAAACUCAAAGAGGUCUUGGCUGGUUAAUCUCUAUCUCUCUAAUACUAACCCUGAAAAUGAAAAAAAAAUCCUUUUUGUUUUACUGUGAUGGAAUCUAUUUGAAUGUAUCUUUGGGUGUGUACAAUGUGUAUUUAGUUACUUGUUCAAUAUUCAUAGUAAGCUUGUCUACUUAAAGCUGGAUGAUCAAGGAAAUCUGCCUAGGACCUUAUGUUCUGCAUCUUUUUAAUCGGGGAUGGGCAACCUGUGAUGCUUAAAAUGGGAGACUCCAAGCCCCAUGAGGCCCAUCAGUGUUGUUCAGUGUUGAAAAUUGAGGGAAAUUCUUCCUUAAAUCUACUGGAUGCCCGUAUGUUCAUAUAUCCCCAGUAUUUAUUAUGGGUUUCACUCGUAUGCAGAAAUCUCAUGGACUAAGUUAAUUGGAACUUACUUUCAAGUUGACACAAAUAGGAUGAUCCUGUAAAUACCUGAUUAGUUUUAAUGGUCCUUCAAAUAUGUCAGAAUUAAAUGGCAACUGAAUUACUAUUUUUUUUCCCCACAAGGAUGUUGUCCUUGGCUUACUGGAUGCCUUGGCUUUCCAUGAUGCACAGCUAAGUUCCUUUAAUGAACAGUGUCCUAAACUCACCUCCCUUUGGUAUAAUAUCAAGGUAUACACCAGUGGCCCCCAAUCUUUUGGGCACCAGGGACCAGUUCUGUAAAUCCCCCCCCCCCGGAGGGUAUGGUUUUGUGCACUAUCUAGAUCCCAUACAUGAGCAGAUGAAUCUUUGUUUGCUUGGGUAGCCAGGUUCCCAACACGGUUUGCCGGCCCUGGGAGUUGGGGACCUCUGGUAUACACCUUUACAAAAAUCCAAAGGCCAAAAUGAGCACAAAUGAAUAAAGAAAACAAUACAGUGAAACUUUGACAAAGAUGGAUUUAUUGUAGCAGUGUAACUAAAAGAUUCUACUGAUCCCACCUGGACUCUGUCUAUACCUCCCCAAGGGAGGUACAUCUCACAGUCUGGGAAAUGUGCUUUAAUGGAGGGAGGUUAGUGCUGCACUGAUAGAAUUCAGUUAUGUGUAAGCCGUAUCAGGGGUGAUCAGUAGCUGCGCAGCUUUGAAGCAUAGAGACUACAGAGAGUCCUCGCUUACCGACCACUUGGUAAAUGAUUAUAAUGGUGCUGAAAAAAGGUGAUUUAUGAUCAAUCCUUGAAGUUGCAGCUGUCAUCACAUUAUCGUGAGUUGGGCACUUGGCAACAUUUAUGACAAUCACACCAUCCCAUGGUCUCUGUGUCAGAGAAGAUCUGGAUUCCAGAAACCUUUGCUUGAUUUUUUACAACUUACACAUUGCAGAUAGUCCUUAACUUAACAACAGUUGUUUUUAGUGACCGAAGUUACAGUGGGACGGAAAAUAAUACUUAUGGUCAUUUUUCACACUUACGACUGCUGCAGCAUCCCCAUGGCCACAUGAUCAAAAUUCAGAUGCUUGGCAACUGGUUCAUAUUUAUGACGGUUGCAGUGUCCUGGUGAUCACCUUUUGCGACCUUUUGAUAAGCAAAGUCAAUGGGGGAAGCAGAUUCAUUUAAUAACUGUGUUACUAGCUUUACAACUGCAGUGAUUCACUUAACAAAUGUGGCAAGAACAGUUGUAAAAUGGGGCAAAACUCACUUAACAAAUAUCUUGCUUAGUGACAGAAACUUGGGGCUCAAUUGUGGUAGUAAGUCGAGGACUACCUGUAUAAUAAUAGGUCCAGACCUAUAGUCUAGUAACCCCACUGUAAGGAACUCCCACUUUUCUGGGGGGAAAUAAAAGAACGGUUAUAUAAAUGACCUUCCACCAAGUACCAGUAGACCAGUACUUCUACCAGCACUAGUGAUAUAUGAAUACCAAGCAGGUAGGGCUGAAAUGCUGUUUCAUUCUGGCCUGCUUCCUUGCUGUGACAAGGCUAGAUUUGCCCAAGCCUAAACUGCCUUAACAAAUAAAGUCAUUUUGUUGAAAAUUGCUUUUAACCACUGCAUCCAAACAUCUUAGAUAAUAUUUUCCGGAGCAGAAAAUGGUUCAAACUUGACAUUAAAUAGUCCUAAACCUUACCGUUUCAUUCCCUACUACUCCCGCUGCAUUUAGGGCUCAAAGGAAAUAGAGAUCACAGGGUGAGGAGGGGGAGAAAGGAAAAAGGAAACGUAAUUACAUUUUAAGAAAGUAAACACCAGUGAGGCAUUUUGAUGGCCUAGCAAUAAACAUGGCCGACGACCAGAGUUGGAAAUGAAGUUCCAGUAGGCGGGGCCUGACUCUUCCAUCCCUCCCUCUGUUGACUCAGCAUCUUCCCGAAAUUAUUUUGCCAAAAUUAUCCCCCCUUCCCGGUCAGUUUUUUAGAAUCGGUUGAAGUUGACUUGUGUUACUGGCUUUACAAUUGACAUGGUUGUUUCUGAGUGUAGCAUCAUUAGAAGUUUGAACCGGGCUGCCCCUGGAUUACAAGAGAAAUAAAUUGAGCAAGCAAAGGGAGGAAGUGUGCGGCAUGUGCCCUCGCUUCCUAUUGACAUGCAAAAGAGGGAGGGCCCAGAAAAAGGAAAAGGAAGCACGCUCUUUGCCUUUUCUCCUACGCCCCGGGUUGGUUCAGCAGCCAGCCAGAGGAAGGAUUUGCCCUUCGCUUGUUCAUGCUUUCAGCACCUGUCACCUGGAGAAGUUGUGACUCCACAUGCCCCUGGGCGGAGGCUUCACAGUUGGGCCACAUUCUUCCUGCCACUCAUGAGCGUUGAUUUCCUCACUUCUUUCCAAACUCUCUUUUUCCUUUGAAGCAACCUGGCCAGCCACCACCACUGCCACACUCAUUCGAAACAAACCCCGUCGUGAGGACUCCCCCUCAUGGGUUUUUGAGCUGGUGGAAGAAUGCAAAUGUUUAUUUCAGUUUCAUGUAUACAAGUGUACAAGAAAACAACGCCAUGCAUGCAUUUCUGGGAGAAAGGGUUUCAAUUGUGCUGUGGCUUAAUCUUAGCAAUACUCGUCUGAUGUAAGAUAAAUUCCUCAAACUGGUUUUGGUAGAACUAAUUUGAACUAUAAGCUCUAUCCAAAAGACACUUUCAAACUUUUGGAUAAGAUGUAAUAGACUUUAUUUACUUCUGGGCCAGGCGGGGCAGGAGGGAGGGAAGCUGAGGUAUGUAUAAGUUCCAUACUUAUAAAGAAUGCAGCCGGAAAAAACCAACCAAAACAGAGACAAAUUCUGUUUGUUCUUGUAACACCUCCUAAAUAUUAAUGAAUUAAAUUAAUUAAAUAUAAAUAAAUACCCCAUUACAGCA